rnacentral:RNase_P_RNA from 1 species
GGGUUGCGCAGUCGCGUGGUAUCAUGCCGAAAGGUCGUAUCAUGAGGAAAGUCCGGGCUUCACAGGGCAGGAUAACGGAUAACGUCCGCCGUCGCCAUGGCUUGUCCGUGUCGGCGGUAAGGGUGGAAAGGCGAGGUAAGAGCUCACCGGCUGUGUGGUGACACAUCAGCAACUGUAAACCCUAUCCGAAGCAACACCGUAUGCGGGAGAGCGGUCUGCCCGAUCCAUUCCCGCGGGUGGCUGGAGCCUGUCGGCAACGGCAGGUCGAGAUAGAUGACUGCGGCGCGCAAGCGCACAGAACCCGGCUUAUAUGCCCGGUU